UACGUAGGGGCCGAGCGUUGUCCGGAGUUAUUGGGCGUAAAGCGCGCGCAGGCGGCUUCGCGCGCCCGACGUGAAAGCCCCCGGCUUAACCGGGGAGAGUCGUUGGGGACGGCGGAGCUUGAGGGCGGGAGAGGUCGGUGGAAUUCCCGGUGUAGUGGUGAAAUGCGUAGAGAUCGGGAGGAACACCAGAGGCGAAGGCGGCGACCUGGACAGGUACUGACACUCAACUACGAAAGCGUGGGGAGCAAACAGG
rnacentral:rRNA from 1 species